GGGGGCGACCGGUUUCGACGUGCCAGUUGAAGCAUCGGUUGCGCGCCGAGGACCCCGGUUGGCCUCGAAAAACAUCCGGGAAAAACACAAAAGCCAACGAACAAUUGGCCUUCGCGGCUUAGUUCCGCGACGUUCGGCCGUCUUCGCCUGCGGGGCGGAUCCGGGCGUUAUGAGCAGGCUGGCGACCCGUGCCGGGCAACCGGGUGCGGGAGCGAGAACCGACCGGUUGAUUGCGGUGCUGCUGGUUUGUCCGUGGACAGGCGGCAUGGCGAAACCUAAAUACGGACUAUGCGCGUAGACGUCGGUGUAACGCUGGUGCGGACGCGGGUUCGACUCCCGCCGCCUCCACCA
rnacentral:tmRNA from 2 species